rnacentral:rRNA from 1 species
AACGAACGCUGGCGGCAUGCCUAACACAUGCAAGUCGAACGAGACCUUCGGGUCUAGUGGCGCACGGGUGCGUAACGCGUGGGAACCUGCCUUUAGGUUCGGAAUAACUCAGAGAAAUUUGAGCUAAUACCGGAUGAUGUCUUCGGAUCAAAGAUUUAUCGCCUUUAGAUGGGCCCGCGUUGGAUUAGCUAGUUGGUGGGGUAAAGGCCUACCAAGGCGACGAUCCAUAGCUGGUCUGAGAGGAUGAUCAGCCACACUGGGACUGAGACACGGCCCAGACUCCUACGGGAGGCAGCAGUGGGGAAUAUUGGACAAUGGGCGAAAGCCUGAUCCAGCAAUGCCGCGUGAGUGAUGAAGGCCUUAGGGUUGUAAAGCUCUUUUACCCGAGAUGAUAAUGACAGUAUCGGGAGAAUAAGCUCCGGCUAACUCCGUG